GUCCCUUGUGGGGAGGUGCUGGGCCCCGGCGUCGCUCGUGGAGCCCCCACCCGUGGGGCUCUCCCCCCGCAGCCCUCCCGCACACUUGGAGGCACCGUGGGGCAGGCGGGAGGGGGAGGAUACAUGAGUGUCCAGAAGGGUGGACAGAUGGAUGGACAGACUUCAGGUGCGUCCUUCCACUUGCUCACGGCUCUGUCUCGGCGAGGACAGUGCUGGGGCAAUCCCCGGAGCUCACUCCCACGCAGACCUCUGGAAAACAUCUGUGAUUUUUUCUUUUUUUUUCCUUUUUUAAUUUUUUUUUUUUCCUUCGGAGCACAGAAACACGGAGAUAAGAUUUGGGGCUUUUUUAUUAUUAUUAUUAUUUUUUUCCCCAAGGCAGGUGCUCCCUUACUCACAACUCCUGAACUUGCCGUAGGGGAGGCAUACACAGCUCAGCAGAGGAAAGGACAAGAGCCGGUGAAUCCCAGCACACGGCCAGGGCUACACGGGACCCCUGCACAGCCCCACGCACACGGGAGCCGGGCACACUGCCCCUGCCGCAGCCUCGAAAAUUGUCACCUAAAAACCUCUCCUCGCACCCACCUAACAAUUUAGCUAAAAUCUCGGGCACAGACAGCAAAGUGACUCCUCGGUGGAAGGAAAGAAGGAAGAAGGAAAGGAGCGGGGCGGAACAGAGGAGCGGCUGCGGAGCAGCGAUCCGUGCUGCCAGCCCGGGAUGUGCCCGAAUUCCUUCGCAGGGGCGAGGAGCCGCCCGGGCCGCCGGGGAGCGGGCUCUGGGAGCCCUGGGGACCC
rnacentral:lncRNA from 1 species